UUUUUUUUUCAUGGACACUAAUGCAUGCAGAUGUUAGCCCAUUACUUUCAUGUUCUGUAACCUCCCCUCUUGGGAAGACACAUUUCAUAUUCUACUCUAGGCAGAUACUUGGAUUGCUUUCAAUUCUUUUUAUUAUUAUGGACAAUGGUGCUAUAGAAAUUAGUCUGUAUGCUUUUCCUUUCCUCUCCCUCCUCUCCCUUCUCCUCUUCUCAUUUUUGCUGGUACUGGAUAUUUAACCCAAGGCCUUGUGCAUGCUAGGCAACAACUCCAUGCUGCAACCUCAAGCUGUGUUUCAGUGUGCUUGCACAAAGUCACAUGCUCACUAGCAGUGUGCAAGAGUUUCUAUUGUCACACAACACUCCUCCUCACUUGGAAUUGUCUGUUAGGUGUGCAGAAAUGUCCUGGGGAGGUUGCACUUUGGAUUUCCAUCCUUGCUUACAAAUUUGACGAUCUCUUCAUAGGUUUGAUGAUAAUUUGAGUUUCUUCUUCCCCAAAGAAACUGUGUUAGUCUUCUAUCCAUCUCCUUUAAUGACAAGCACCACGUGAAAUUUCCUGAUGAAUACAUGUCUGAGCUUUAGUGUAUUCCUGUUCCUAAUUCUUCAUCGUUUAUACUCAUUUAAGAACAUGAAAAUAUUUAAAGUUAUACUACUCCAGCACUACUUGCUGACAGGCCCUUCCUUAAAUAAAGAUUCUUCAGGCCUUAUUUACACGUGUCUGAAUCUAGGUCUAGUCUCUUCAGAGUCACUGAUUCAGUUUUAUAUCUUGUACCGACAAAUAGUAUCUAAUUAUUACUUUAUAAAUUUUAUGUUAUUUUACUAUUUAUUUUUGGAUGGGGUCUUGCUAUGUAUACCCCACGCUGACCUGGAACUUGCUAUGUAGCCCAGGCUGAUAAACUCAAAAUCCGCCUGCCUCUGCUUGCCCAGUGCUGGAAUAAUAGGCGUGCGCCACCUUGAUCAACUUUAUAAAUUAUUUUCAUAUUUACUUAUUUAUUUAUGUAUGUGGGGAGUGUGCCUAGGUGCAUUCAGAUAUCAGCAAGGAUGACAGAUCCCUGGGAGCUCCAGUUAAGGCAGUUGUGAGAUGCCAUCACAUAAUUCCUUCACAGCCAAGAGUUUUCGUUUGGGUUACAUUAUCACAACUGAGUUAUAACCAUCAUUGUAGAAAGUUUUUUACAACCCAUAAAAGAAUCACUUCAUUCAUGAUUCCCACUUUUGAAAAAUGAUUUAUUUUAUGAUAUGACAACCCUGUCACUCUCUUCAGACACCCCAGAAGAGGGCAUUGGGUCCCAUUACAGAGGGUUGUGAGCCCCUAUGUGGAUGCUAGGAAUUGAAAACAUGACCUCUGGACGAACAGUCAGUGCUCUUAACUGCUAAGCCAUCUCUCCAGCCCAUGAUUACCACUUUUAAUUUGGGUUCCUUUGAUCCUCACAUCUAUUUGUUUGGCAUCUGGUGCCCAAAUUAAACAUUUGUUAUACAUGGUCACCCUAGAAAUGCCAAAGACAACACGCGAGCCUGUAAGUCUGUCCUUGUCCCGUAUAUUUUCAGACUGAAUAUUCUGAAAGAUGAGCAGCAAAUCUAUUCCAAGCCUAAAUGAUCCAGUCCAGCAUAGAGCAAUUCACUUGACAAUUCACUUCCGAAACCAGCUGGCACAUCGGCAGAACACUGAACAGUUUAAUCAUCAAAGUAAUGUUAUUGGGAACUUGGCAUUUUAGAUCUGAUCUUGGAGAAACGUUCGUGGUCCCUCUCUUUUUCAUUAGGUAUUUUGUGCGAUAUUUCGAGUGCUCUCAACUGGUGAAAAUAACUGAAAUGAGUAGCUGAUACCUUCCCGGGACACUGCCAAAUUUAGCCCUUUUAGGGGCUAGACUUAUUGCUUCCUUUUGUAAUGUGGAGUCAGGAGUUGCAGUGAUUGCUAAGGAAGGCGCACUAUUUUCUUAAAAGGAAACCAUCCCCCACCUCGUCCUUACAACUACAACCCAGACAUUGCCUGCAGUCUACAUUAGCUAGGUGACUUCAGGCACACCAUUUAAUUUCUAGGUUUCCUGUCUCUAAGAUAAUGGCGUGGACUACUGACACAGUCUUCUGUAUGCUGCCUCCACGCUUCCUGGGUCCACCGUCGGUGUCAGGGCGGAUUCCUGAAGAUCUGCAAUACAGCUUCCCCCUCCUUCCUCUAUGGCACAUGCCUGUUUCUCCCCCACCCCCAAAACGUGCUGCUUGAAGGUAUACCACGGAGAAGGGCCAAGUCAGCUGUAGCCACCCGGCGCCAGCCUGGAGCUGGUGGCUGCUGCGUGAACUUGCCCUUCUUUGACAAGUGCAUUCUAGACGUUAAAGUGCGGCCCAGUCACCCGAAGAAAUACGGCUUGGAGUGCGCCUGAGGUCGGGGCGGGGACGCCGCGGUUCUUUGCUAGGCUUGGAAACCUGGGAACCAUUUCAGGCUGGGUGCGAGUCACGGGGCGAUUGCACGGCAGGGAUUGUGCAAUGGGGCCGCGGCGGGGGACCCCGCAGGAAGUGGGGGAGGCGGCCACCGCGCUAACUCUUUACAUCUAGCUUCCCAGCGGCUUCAGCGGGGUGCAGCCGAACCGGGGACCUUCUGCGGAGGGGAUCAAAAGAGCUCUCAGAAACAUCUGGGCCUGGGUUUCCUGAUAGUGACACCCGGCGGAGACCUGAAGUAGCCUCGAUCGACGCUGGCUCUUGCAGGCGGAAGAUCGAAUUCAGUCCACAGAAAAUUCAACGUAAGCCCGGUGUCAUCUCACUAAACGACAGCUACAGCCGUCUCUUGGUCCCAUUCUAGGGCUAUUCUGGUCAGUUCGCGGGUCCACGCGCCACUGCCUUCCCUCGCGGCAGCUUCCGAGCAGCUCGGAGGCUGGAGCGUGACUUCUCAGCGGCAGGGCGGCGGUGGCGUGGGCGGGCAUCUCCGGGAAAGCGAGCAGAGGAAGUGGAGUCAACGCGCAGGCCGCUUGCCAGCGCGGGCCUCGGGGACACAGCGUGGGGCUGCGGAGCUCCGAGCUGGCCUGUCUGCGCCUCCUGCAAACUCCAGGAACUGCUACAGCCCAGAGCAGCUGGUUCCAGCUGUGCAAAGUCCAGUAAAUUGAGCUGAGCACAGCACGCUCCCUCUGAGGCGCCCUCCUGUAGCAGUUUCAGGGUGCACACGGAACUUUGGAGAAACAUUUAUCAGGAAAGCAAAAUAGGCUAAUGGGAGGAUUUCUUUGUUUUAAUCAUAAAACCUUGAAAAUUAUCCCAGCUGUUUGGAUAAUCUUUUUUUAAUCAUAAAAUGACUAGUCUUUAAAAAGUCAGGUAAUUUUUUUCAAAACCUGAAUGAAAAAAAAAAUUGAAAUGGCAGCACUCAGACCCACUAACAGCAUGAUUAAUAACCGUACUACAUGAACUCACAAGAACCAAAACAUUUACUAACAUUUUCUUGUUUAAAUAUUACUUUAAAAAA